rnacentral:rRNA from 1 species
AUUGAACGCUGGCGGCAGGCCUAACACAUGCAAGUCGAGCGGGGUUUUCGGGCCUAGCGGCGGACGGGUGAGUAAUGCGUAGGAAGCUACCCGAUAGAGGGGGAUACCAGUUGGAAACGACUGUUAAUACCGCAUAAUGUCUACGGACCAAAGUGUGGGACCUUCGGGCCACAUGCUAUCGGAUGCGCCUACGUGGGAUUAGCUAGUUGGUGAGGUAAUGGCUCACCAAGGCGACGAUCCCUAGCUGGUUUGAGAGGAUGAUCAGCCACACUGGAACUGAGACACGGGCCAGACUCCUACGGUGGGAAGAAGUGGGGAAUAUUGGACAAUGGGCGCAAGCCUGAGCCAGCCAGGCCGCGUGUGUGAAGAAGGCCUUCGGGUUGUAAAGCACUUUCAGCGAGGAGGAAGGGGUGUGUGUUAAUAGUACACACCUUUGACGUUACUCGCAGAAGAAGCACCGGCUAACUCUGUGCCAGCAGCCGCCGCAGUAA